rnacentral:rRNA from 1 species
AAUCAACGCUGGCGGCGUGCCUCAGACAUGCAAGUCGAACGCGAAAUUUCCCUUCGGGGAGAAAGUAGAGUGGCGCACGGGUGAGUAACACGUAGGUAAUCUACCUUUGGGUGGGGAAUAACAGCCGGAAACGGCUGCUAAUACCGCAUAAUGCAGCGGCUCGACAUCGAGACAGUUGUUAAAGCGGGGGACCGGAGCAAUCCGACCUCGCGCCUUAAGAGGAGCCUGCGGCAGAUAGCUAGUUGGCAGGGUAAUGGCCUACCAAGGCAACGAUCUGUAACCGGCCUGAGAGGGCGGUCGGUCACACUGACACUGACAUACGGGUCAGACUCCUACGGGAGGCAGCAGUUCGGGAAUUUUGGGCAAUGGGCGAAAGCCUGACCCAGCAACGCCGCGUGAAGGAUGAAAUUUUCGGAAUGUAAACUUCGCAAGAAUGGGAAGAAUAAGUAGGGACAAUACCCCUAUGAUGACGGUACCAUUUGUAAGCUCCGGCUAACUCCGUGCCAGCCGCCGCCGUAAC